GUGAGGAAUAUUGGUCAAUGGGCGGGAGCCUGAACCAGCCAAGUCGCGUGAAGGAAGAAGGAUCUAUGGUUCGUAAACUUCUUUGCAGGGGAAUAAAGUGCAGGACGUGUCCUGUUUUGUAUGUACCCUGAGAAUAAGGAUCGGCUAACUCCGUGCCAGCAGCCGCGGUAAUACGGAGGAUCCGAGCGUUAUCCGGAUUUAUUGGGUUUAAAGGGUGCGUAGGUGGUUUGAUAAGUCAGCGGUGAAAGUUUGCAGCUUAACUGUAAAAAUGCCGUUGAAACUGUCGGACUUGAGUGUAAAUGAGGUAGGCGGAAUGCGUGGUGUAGCGGUGAAAUGCAUAGAUAUCACGCAGAACUCCGAUUGCGAAGGCAGCUUACUAAGCUACAACUGACACUGAAGCACGAAAGCGUGGGGAUCAAACAGGAUUAGAAACCCGGGUAGUCC
rnacentral:rRNA from 1 species